CGUUCUUCUUCUGUUCACUCUCUACUCUCCAGUGUCCUGACCUGUGAUCUCCACCUGCCUUGGUUUCCCGAGACUCUGAGCUUCAUCACCUCCACUCAGGGAGUCUGAUGCAGUAGGAGUUGGAAAAAAGUAUAACUGAAGAACUAGAAAACGCUGCUGCUGAAUUUGAAUCUGGAUCCUGCAGAGACUUUCCUCCAGGAUCUACUGAUGUGUCAUGUCUAAAUCAAGAUCUAGUUUUGAAAAUGUCACAAGAAUACGUCCAGCUUUUGAAGAAAAGUUAUAUGACCUGAAAAAUAAACAGCAUAAAUUUAUUUACUAGGCAGCUUCCAUAACAUUUAAAUUAUUUCCCAUUAAACAUAUGACAUAUGAAAAUCUUAAA
rnacentral:lncRNA from 1 species